rnacentral:lncRNA from 1 species
CUUACUCAGUGCUCACAGAAGGUACCAAUUAAUGGGUCAGCUUAUGGUCACUUGUGACUGUAAACACCAUUGUCACGACUAGGGGGUAUCAUUGGGUUAUGAGAAAGGCAAAGAAAGAGAUCCUGAUAUUCUGAACAAGGUGAAGGCCAUCAGAAUAGUGGUAGAGCUACAGACAAUGAUGUAAGAAGAAGUGGGCAAAUUGUGGUUCAUAUUUUAUAGCUACUGCACCAUAUCCUAAGAUGUUCUGUGACUACUGCUUCCAGAGCAAUAGUGGGUUUAAGGGACAAGGUUCCCAAACUCAGGCGAUUGGGGCUCAGUCAGCUUCAUCGUAUCCUCCUUAUAGAUUUGGGGUCAGUUGCACUACAGUUUUUGUGAUUUGUAGAGAAAUUAGUGUUUUAGAUGCGACCAGCUAAGCCAUAUUCAAAGGAGUUGUCCCUUCGAUGAUGUUGCUACUGGUUUAAUAAGGUUUUAGUUGCUGCUUUUUCAACUCUUGUACCAAAGGGUGCUACUUUAGUCUCUGGUACUAGUUGGAAUCGUCUAUAUGAUCUUGCCACCCAUCUGAAAUCCUAAGAGUCUCCCAAUAUAUUUAUUGGUACACUGAAACUUUUAUCUUGUUAUUUAUAUUGUAAGCUAGAUCCCAACCCUACGCUUUCUUUUGGAACCCUUUAUGUGGCUAUUCAUUUUGGUUUUAGUCCUGAAUGUAUUCCUGAUCCUUUUUCUAUAUCUACCCCAAUGAAUGACUGAUGUGUGCCACGUUUACCACUCAUUUAUAUCAAAAUUUGUGCACAUUAUGCUAAAAUGAUUGUAGAUAUGAGGUAAAUUGUUUAUUUAACUACAUUAAAUCCUAUGGUUUUCAUGUUUUCAGGUUAUUGGAAGAAAAUGAGUGAAGCCAAGCUUAAAAGGUAAACAAAAGACAAAAGUGAUUGCACUAGAUGGAAAUCAAGAGUAAGGAUUGAUCUUGAGGUACCGCGAUCUUGGCCUGAGGGUUGUGAUCAUUACCAAUCAAAGCAAAGACAAGUUACAGUAAUCACUUAUUGAUCAUCGUGAUAGCAAAAGUUACAAUCUCUUUAAAUGGAGUGCAAUUGUGGUGAAGAGGGAAAGUCUCCAAGGGUAGAAUCGUUAAUUCACAGAGCCAAAUCCCAAAUCUCCAAAGCAAAACCCUUGCACAAUUAAGGCAUCUUUGAACCAAUUUUUAAUUUUGUAGAGAGAAAACUAUUGUACUUUAGGAAAA